AUUGAACGCUGGCGGCAGGCCUAACACAUGCAAGUCGAGCGAGCGGCGGACGGGUGAGUAAUGUAUGGGGAUCUGCCCGAUAGAGGGGGAUAACUACUGGAAACGGUAGCUAAUACCGCAUACUAUUGGAGCGGCCGAUAUCGGAUUAGGUAGUUGGUGGGGUAAAGGCUCACGAAGGCAACGAUCCGUAGCUGGUUUGAGAGGACGACCAGCCAAACUGGGACUGGGACACGGCCCAGAGUCCUACGGGAGGCAGCAGUGGGGAAUUUUGGACAAGGGGGGAAACCCUGAUCCAGCAAUCCCGCGUGUAUGAGAAGGCCUUCGGGUUGUAAAGUACUUUUGGCAGAGAAGCGGUAUCUGCAGAAUAAGCACCGGCUAACUACGUGCCAGCAGCCGCGGUAAUAC
rnacentral:rRNA from 1 species